rnacentral:rRNA from 1 species
GACGAACGCUGGCGGCGUGCUUAACACAUGCAAGUCGAACGGACAGACAGAGAGCUUGCUCUCUUGAAGUUAGUGGCGAACGGGUGAGUGACGCGUAAUCAACCUGCCCUUCAGAGGGGGACAACAACGGGAAACCGUUGCUAAUACCGCGUACGAUUCAUGAACGGCAUCGUUUAUGAAUGAAAGGUGGCCUCUAUGUAUAAGCUAUCGCUGAAGGAGGGGGUUGCGUCUGAUUAGCUAGUUGGAGGGGUAACGGCCCACCAAGGCAAUGAUCAGUAGCCGGUCUGAGAGGAUGAACGGCCACAUUGGGACUGAGACACGGCCCAAACUCCUACGGGAGGCAGCAGUGGGGAAUCUUCCGCAAUGGACGAAAGUCUGACGGAGCAACGCCGCGUGAGUGAUGAAGGUCUUCGGAUUGUAAAGCUCUGUUAAUCGGGACGAACGAGUUCUGCGUGAAUAAUGCAGAAAAGUGACGGUACCGGAAUAGAAAGCCACGGCUAACUACGUGCCAGCAGCAGCCGCGG